rnacentral:rRNA from 1 species
UAUUGGACAAUGGGCGCAACCCUGAUCCAGCAAUGCCGCGUGUGUGAAGAAGGCCUGAGGGUCGUAAAGCACUUUUGUCAGCCCCGACGAAGUAUGCGCUAAUACCGCAUAUGACUGACGUUACCUAAAGAAUAAGCACCGGCUAACUCUGUGCCAGCAGCCGCGGUAAUACAGAGGGCGCAAGCGUUAAUCGGAAUUACUGGGCGUAAAGGGUGCGUAGGUGGACGCAUAAGUCGGAUGUGAAAUCCCUGGGCUUAACCUAGGAACUGCAUUCGAAACUGUGAGUCUAGAGUAUGGUAGAGGUAAGUGGAAUUUCCGGUGUAGCGGUGAAAUGCGUAGAUAUCGGAAGGAACAUCAGGGCGAAGGCGACUUACGGACUAUACUACACGAGGCAGAAAGCUG